rnacentral:snRNA from 1 species
GGAUGUGAGGGCAAUCUGGCUGUGACAUCUGUCACCCAGAGUUGAUUCAGCUGAUCUGGCUGGCUAGGCAGGUGUCCUCUUCCUCCCUUAUUGCUCCAUGUGCAUCCCUCCUGAAGUUGUGAGCUAAACUGUGCUCUCCUGCUAAAGCUUCCAAACCAGCUCUCAAAAUUGUGGUCUCCAUCUACAGGGGAAAAACUUCAUGAACUGUGAAACAAUAUUGAAGAUCUUUCUUU